GAAUUUCGGUUAUCGAUGGGGAUGCGUUCCAUUAGUUUGCUGGCGGGGUAACGGCCCACCAAGACUACGAUGGAUAGGGGUUCUGAGAGGAAGGUCCCCCACAUUGGAACUGAGACACGGUCCAAACUCCUACGGGAGGCAGCAGUGAGGAAUAUUGGUCAAUGGGCGAGAGCCUGAACCAGCCAAGUAGCGUGAAGGAUGAAGGCUCUAUGGGUCGUAAACUUCUUUUAUAUGGGAAUAAAGUUUUCCACGUGUGGAAUUUUGUAUGUACCAUAUGAAUAAGGAUCGGCUAACUCCGUGCCAGCAGCCGCGGUAAUACGGAGGAUCCGAGCGUUAUCCGGAUUUAUUGGGUUUAAAGGGAGCGUAGGUGGAUUGUUAAGUCAGUUGUGAAAGUUUGCGGCUCAACCGUAAAAUUGCAGUUGAAACUGGCAGUCUUGAGUACAGUAGAGGUGGG
rnacentral:rRNA from 1 species